rnacentral:lncRNA from 1 species
CUUAAUAGCUGCUACUCUGGAGUGAGAUGGAAUCUUAGAGUAGUUUUGAUUUUCAUUCUCUAAUUGCUAGAAAGAUGUUGAACAUUUUUUCAUAUAUUUGUUGAUUGAUUAUAUAUCAUCUGAGAAGUGUCUGUUCAAUUUCUUGGGCCAUUUAUUGAUUGGGUCAUUUGUUUUUUUGGUGUUAAGGUUUUUGAGUUCUUUAUAUAUCCUAGAGAUUAGUGUUCUCUCUGUGUGGUAAAAAUUUGCUCUCAUUCUGUAGGCUCUCUAUUCACCUCACUAAUUGUUUCUUUUGCUGAAAAGAAGCUUUUUAGUUUGAAUCCAUUCCAUUUAUUGAUUCUUGAUUUUUAUUUCUUACUCUAUAGGAGUCUUAUUAAGGAAGUUGGGGCCUAAUCCAACAUGUUAAAGAUUUGGGCCUACUUUUUCUUCUAUUAGGCUCAGGGUUUCUGGUUUAAUUCCUAGGUCCUUGAUCCACUUUGAGUUGAGUUUUGUACAUGGUGAAAGAUAGGGGCUUAAUUUAAUUUUGUUACAUAUGGAUUUCCAAUUUUCCCAGCACCAUUUGUUGAAGAGGCUAUCCUUUCUCCAAUAUGUUUUUGAUGCCUUUCUCUAAUAUGAGAUAACUAUAUUUAUGUGGCUUUCUCUCUGUGUCCUCUACUCUGUACCAUUGGUCUACAAGUCUAUUUUGGCACCAAUAUGAUGCCGUGUUUGUUACUGUUGCUCUGUAAUAUAGUUUAAGAUCUGGUAUAGUGAUGCCUCCUGCUUCACUUUUCUUGCUAAGGAUUGCUUUAGCUAUUUUGGGUCUCUUAUUUUUCCAGAUGAAUCUUAUGAUUGCUUUUUCAACUUCUAUGAGGAAUGUCUUUGGGAUUUUGAUUGGAAUUGCAUUAAAUAUGUAUAAUGCUUUUGGUAAUAUGAUCAUUUUGACAAUAUUAAUUCUGCCUAUCCAAGAACAAGGGAGAUCUUUGUUUCAGAGGAUUUGUCACUGAUGUACAGAAAUGCUUUAUGAUUUAUGGGUGUUGAUUUUAUAUCCUGCUACUUUGCUGAAUUCAUUUAUUCUAGAAGUUUCCUGGUGGAAUAUUUCGGAUCUUCUAGCUAUAGAAUCAUAUUGUUGGCAAAUAGUGAUAAUUUGAGUUUUUCUUUUCCUAUUUCAUAUCCCUUUAAUUUCUUUCAUCUGUCUAAUUGCUCUGGCUAGAGUUUCAAGAACAAUGGUAAAUAGCAAUGGUAAAAGAGGAUAUCCCUGUCUUGUUCCAGUUUUUAGAGGGAAUGCUUUCAGUUUCUCUCCGUUUAGAAUGAUGGUGGCCUGGGGCUUAGCAAAAUAGCUUUUUCAAUGUUGAGGUAUGUUCCUAUUAUCCCUUGUUUUUUUAGUGUUUUGGACAUAAAGAAGUGCUGUAUUUUGUCAUAUGCUUUUUCUGCAUCUAUUGAGAUGAUCAUAUUAUUCUUAUCCUUAAGUUAUAAUUACAUUUAUUGAUUUCUGUAUGUUGAACCAACCUUGCAUCCCUGGGAGGAAACCUACUUGAUCAUGGUGCAUUAUCUUUUUGAUGUUUUUGUAUUCGAUUUGCCAGAAUUAUUAUUGAGAAUAUUUGCACCUAUGUUCAUUAGUCUGAAGUUUUCUUUCUUUGAUGUGUCUUUGUCUGGUUUUGGAAUCAGGGUGAUAUUGGCCUCAUAGAAUAAGUUUGGAAAUGUUCCCUCUUUUUCUAUUUCAUGAAAUAAGUUGAGGAGUAUUGGUAUUAGUUCUUCUUUGAAGGUCUUAUAGAACUCAGCUGUGUAUCCAUCUGGUCCUGGGCUUUUUUUUAUUGGUAGGCUUCUGAUGGUGCCUUCUAUUUCACUGCUUGAAAUUGAUCUGUUUAACUUGUAUAUAUCAUCCUGAUUCAGUUUGGGCAAAUCAUCUGACUCCAGAAAUUUGUUGAUGCCUUUGACAUUUUCUAUUUUAUUGGAGUACAAAUUUUCAAAAUAAUUUCUAAUUAUUUUCUUUAUUUCUGUAGUGUCUGUCAUAAUAUUUUAUUUUUCAUUACAGAUGUUAGUAAUUUGAGUUUUCUCUCUCCUUCUCUUUGUUAGCAUGGCUAAUGCUUUAUCAAUUUUAUUUAUUUUUUUCAAGAACCAACUUUUUGUUUUGUCAAUUUUUUCAGUGGUUUCUUUUGUUUCAAUUUUAUUGAUUUAGCUUUGAUUUUAAUAUUUUCUGUCUUUUACUGCUUUUGGGAUUGAUUUGUUCUUCUUUUUCUAGGGCAUUUAUUUGUGGACUUUUUCUUCUUUGAAGGAAUGAACUCCAUGCAAUAAACUUUCCUCUUAGUAUUGUUCAUAGAUUUUGAUCAGUGUUCUCAUUUACCUCUAAGAAUUUUUAAAUUUCUGUUUUUUAAUUUCCUGUUUGAUGUCUUUUGCAACCCAUUGUUCAUUGAGUAGCAUAUUAUUUAGUCUCCAGGUACUGGAGUAGCUUCUAUUUUUUAUUAUUACUGAUUUCUAAUUUCAUUCCAUUAUGAUCUGAUAGAAUGCAUGGUAGUAUCUCUAUUUUUUUUGUAUUUGCUAAGAUUUGCUUUUUGGCAUAAUGUAUGGUCUAUUUUAGAGAAGGAUCCAUGUGCUGCUGAAAAGAAAGUCUAUUCACUUGUUAAUGGAUGAAAUAUUCAGUAUAUGUCUGUUAAAUCUAAAUUAUUGAUUGUAUUAUUGAGUUCUAUAGUUUUUUUUUUUUUUAGCUUUUGUUUGGGAGAUUUAUGCAGUGGUGAAGGAGGUGUGUUAAAGUUAUCUUUGUGUUGUGGUCUGUUUGACUCUUGAACUUGAGAAGAGUUUGUUUGAUGAAUGUAGAUAUGCCAUUGUUUGGGGCAUAUAUAUUUAUAAUUGUUAUGUCUUGUGGAGACCCCUGCUUGUUUCCACAGUCCAUGUUAGUGAUACGUUUUUUCCCCAACCUUUCACCUUUAGUCUGUGGAUGUCUUUUCCUAUGAGAUGAAUCUCUUGAAGGCAGCAUAUUAUUGGGUCUUUUUAAAAAAUUCAAUCUGCCAGUCUAUAUCUUUGGAUUGGUGAGUUUAGGCCAUAAACAUUCAGGGUUAUUAUUGAGACAUGAUUUGUAUUCCCAGUCGUAUUUGUUUAUUUUUGGUAUUUAAUGUCUUAGUUUCUCCUUUGAUUAGUAUUUCCUUUAGUGUAAUUCUUCCCUUUGCUGAUUUUCAUUGUUGUUUUUCUUUUUUUUUGUUUCCUCUUCAUGGAAUAUUUUGCUAAGAAUGUUCUAUAAUGCAAGCAUUCUAGUUGUAAAUUCCUUUAACUUUUGUUAAUCAUGGAAGGUUUUUAUUUCAUCAUCAACUCUAAAGCUUAAUUUUGCUGGAUAUAAGAUUCUUGGUUGGUGUCCAUUUUCUUUCAGAGCUUGGUAUGUGUUGAUCCAGGAUCUUCUAGCUUUCAGGGUCUGGGUUGAAAAAUCUCCAGAUAGCCUAAUUGGUUUCCCCCUAUAUGUAAUCUGAUUCCUUUCUCUUGUGGCUUUUAAAAUUCUCUCCUUAUUUUGUAUGCUAGACAUUUUCAUUAUAAUGUGCCUUGGUGUGGAUCUGUUGUGAUUUUGUACACAUGGUGUACUAUAAGCCUCUUGUAUGUGAUUUUCCAAGUCAUUCUUCAUGUUUGGAAAAAUUUCUAAUAUUAUUUCAUUGAAUAGAUUGUUCAUUCCUUUGGUUUGGAGCUUUAUGCGUUCCUCUAUUCCAAUAAUUCUUAAAUUUGGUCUUUUUUUUUGUUAUCCCAUUAUUGUUGAAUGUGUUGCUCAUGGUUUCUUACCAUCUUUACUGUGUGGUCAACAUUCUUUUCAGUAUUAUAUAUUUUAUCUUCACUAUCUGAGGUCCUGUCUUCCAAGUGAUCUAAUAUGUUGGUGAUGCUUUCUAUUGAGCUUUUAAUUUUGUUUAUUGUUUCUUUCAUUUCAAGUAUUUGUUUUUUUUUCAGAACCUCUUUCUCCUUAUUGAAGUAAUCUUUUGCUUCCUGUAUUUGCUUAUGUAGCUCUUUAUUGAAAUGAUCUUUUGUUACCUGUGUUUGCUCUCUUAUAUCAUCCUUUAAUCCACAGAACAUUUUAAUUAUGUACAUCCUGAAGUCCUUCUCUGUCAUUUCUUCUGUUGUGCUGGCCAUUGAUUCUAGUAAUGUUAUAUCUUGGUUUGUUGGGAGACUUUCUUUCCUUGUUUCUUCAUGUUGUUUGUGUGUCUUCCCUUCUAGCACUGCAGAUCUGGGGCAUUACAGUUUUUACCCUAUAGGCUUAUAGUGUCCCUGCAGGUUUUCAAUACCUCUCCUUUAAGGCGGGGACAAUGUGAAUAGACCCCAACCUAAACAAUAUACAACCUUAAACCAAAUAGCUGCUAUUAAAACGUUUGUGGUUUUUUCACAAUAUACAGUAAUGGUAAGUUAAAUUAUUAUCUACAUUAUAAACAGUAGGUUUGCAAAAGGGUCUACAGUCUGAUGGUGGACAGAUAACCUGGGUGAGGUGUAGAAUGAGAUGUUGAGGGGGUAAGAGGUGAGGAUAUAGUUUUUAUAUCUUAGUGUGAAAGAGGUAUCUAAAGAAGUUGGUUAGUAGCAAGAGAGAGAGAGUGAUUUGGGGGAGACAAGUAAGUGGGAAGACAGAGUAUAACAAACACAAAUAUUAAGAAAAGUAAAACAUGUAAAAAUAGAAGAUAAUAGUAUAUUAUAGCGGUGGUGUAUAUUUUCAGACCUCCCUGUCCUCAGUAGCCUAAUUCAUAAAAAGUACUUGGUUUCACAAAUGUUGGGGAUGUGAGAGUGGGAGAAGAGAGAGAGGGGAAAAAAAAAUCUCGAAGGGAGAUAUAAGGAUUGUUUUUGUUGGAGAUAAGUAUCUUUCCAGCUUCUCUUCUCAUCCAAUAGGUGGGGUUGUUUGUUGUUUGAUGGUAUCUCUACCCUCAAGAUGGUGAAGGUUGUUAGAGUGGGAGGGUUGGUCUUGGGGGUGUGGCUCCUGGAGGUAGGGUAUAGUACUUGCUGGACCCCAUGGGAGAUUGCACCCCAAGAAUCUCCUUUGGGGCCCACUUGUGUGAUAUGGGUGCCUGAUUUUAUCUUACAUCACCUGUAAACCUUGCAAUUCCUGGCUUCUAAUUUAGUCUCACCCCCUUCCUUUCUACUUCCUAAUCAUGAACCUCUAUCUUCAGAGGUCUUAUGGGUUGUGCUCUGGGGGCCUUGCACCUGUCAUGGAGAGCUGUUUUAUAUUGAACCCAGUUUUGUGAGCUACAGACUGGCUGUGUAGCCACAGGCACUGUGCCAGGUUAGCAACUGCU